rnacentral:rRNA from 1 species
CCGGAAUUAUUUGGCGUAAAGAGCUCGUAGGCGGCCUGUUGCGUCCGCUGUGAAAGCCCGGGGCUUAACCCCGGGUCUGCAGUGGAUACGGGCAGGCUAGAGGUAGGUAGGGGAGAAUGGAAUUCCCGGUGUAGCGGUGAAAUGCGCAGAUAUCGGGAGGAACACCGGUGGCGAAGGCGGUUCUCUGGGCCUUACCUGACGCUGAGGAGCGAAAGCGUGGGGAGCGAACAGG